CCCUUUGGCCUGGAAUAACACGAGGAAACUUGUGCUAAUACCGGAUAAGUCUUUACGGAGAAAGCUUUAUGCACCAUUGGAUGAGCCUGCACUUGAUUAGUUUGUUGGUGGGGUAAUGGCCUACCAAGACUGUGAUCAAUAGCUGAUUUGAGAGGAUGAUCAGCCACAUUGGGACUGAGACACGGCCCAAACUCCUACGGGAGGCAGCAGUGGGGAAUCUUGCACAAUGGAGGAAACUCUGAUGCAGCGAUGCCGCGUGAGUGAAGAAGGCCUUUGGGUUGUAAAGCUCUUUCGUCGGGGAAGAAAAUGACUGUACCCGAAUAAGAAGGUCCGGCUAACUUCGUGCCAGCAGCCGCGGUAAUACGAAGGGACCUAGCGUAGUUCGGAAUUACUGGGCUUAAAGAGUUCGUAGGUUGUUGAAAAAGUUGGUGGUGAAAUCCCAGAGCUUAACUCUGGAACUGCCAUCAAAACUUUUCAGCUAGAGUAUGAUAGAGGAAAGCAGAAUUUCUAGUGUAGAGGUGAAAUUCGUAGAUAUUAGAAAGAAUACCAAUUGCGAAGGCAGCUUUCUGGAUCAUUACUGACACUGAGGAACGAAAGCAUGGGUAGCGAAGAGGAUUAGAUACCCUCGUAGUCCAUGCCGUAAACGAUGUGUGUUAGACGUUGGAAAUUUAUUUUUCAG
rnacentral:rRNA from 1 species